UUUGUCACUGCUAGAUUAAGUUCAAUUUUCAAUAUUAUUACUUACUUUAUGUAUUACUGAAAGACCAAUAGGUCCCAAUUAAAAAAAGUAAUUCACUUCUAUAUCAGUAAAAAAUACAAUUUCUUUUGAAUGCUUCAGAGCAGAGUAGGAGUUUAUUAACAAGUCUAAUAUCUUUCUUUCAUUUUUCAACAGGAGAUUCACAAUGUUCUUUUUAUGGCCAGCAGAAAAAACAGAAUCGCUUGUUCACUACUCCCUGUGGAGAUGUUACAGAUUGUUGCUAGUAAAGGAUAGGAAUAACAGUUAUCCCAGAAAGCUCAAACUCUUAUUUCCUGAUCAUUAUAAAAUCAAGAAGCCUUCAGUGACCUGGAACAGAACAGUAAUGAGACACUGCAUGCAGAUCUAAUAGAAGGCAACCGUUCUUGGAAGUGACAGCUGUGUUGGAAAGCUGAAGGGUAAGAGCGGAACUUUUGAGUUAGAGCAGAUUUUCCUCAUAACUGGUACAUGGCUGAAGCCAGAGAUGAAUAAUGAGUUGGAAUUAUCAGUUACUGUCUUAAAUACAACUAUAAAACUAUGGAAAUAGUAAAUAUCUUAUCUUCCUGCUUACCAAUUAAAAUGUUCUUACUGCAGGGUUGGCUUUGUUACUACCAAUACUUUCAACAGGCAUGUUCUCAUACUGGAAAAUAUUUAUUGUGACAUGUGGUUUUCUGCUCUGUUUAGCUUGAAGACAGUGUCCUGAAAAAAUUCACAGUGGGGAAAAAAAGAGAUUUAAAUGCUGGCAGUUGUCUAUUUUAUGUUAUAACCAGGUUCUUUUGCUGUGUCCAUCCUGAUGGUAUCUGAUUGCUUCAUAAAAUAUUUCUUUUACCAGUCAAAUUGUACAGUCUGUUUUGGGAUGUUUUAGUUGGCAAAGUAGGUGGUGAAUUUACUCUGACCAUUCAUCUACAUAUGAUUAUUUUCAUAAGAAUUUAAACUCCUGUUUUUAAGCACAGGAAAAGUGUGUGAAUAGCAAAAAUCUUGUAUCAGGUUCUGUAGUGUAGCCAUGUAGAAACAAUGCUACUAUUAAAGC
rnacentral:lncRNA from 1 species